UCAGCACAAAGAGGAGGAAGAGCAGCACAGCUAAACGUGUACCUGACAGGAGAAGUUUAAGGAAGGCGGCUGAAGAUCUGUGCAGCAGAGUUUUGUUGUGUUGCGCGGCGCCUGAGGAGAGUUUACUGAAGCUGUGAGCUGCAGCCACGGGCCUGAACGCUGCUGUAGAGGUAGACAGCUCAUCAAGAUGAGUGACAAGCUUCUGGCCAAGGAACAACAGCAGCAGCAGAGGAGGAGAGGACCGGACUAACAAUAGAGUGAGUGCCCGGAGGCGAGAGCUGGAGGAGAGGGGAGCGGAGGAGACGGGUUAAAGAAAGCUUUUAGUCCUCUUGACAAUCAAAAGGUAUUGUGGGUUGUGAGCGGUGGGGAGCAGCUCCACGGGAGGAGGGCAGCUCGUGAUAUUCUGGACACUUGAGUGUGUGUUUCUGGCAGUGUGUUUCUACCUCCUGAUGUGCUGGAGCCAUGAGUGCUGAACACAAAGCAGGACCUUUUUUUUAAAAAAAAAACCCAAAACGAGAAAAAUGGAAAUAUUUGACUCAGUCUCAGCUCAAAUACACACAAAACAUCUCUUCAGGCUUCUAUUGCUGCAGUAAAAACACCUCCUGAAUGAUGUGCUGACACAGUCAUAAUGUCAUGUUGGUGACAUGGCUCCAAAUGUUAGUUAAUCCCCAUUAAGAGCCAGAAAUAACCAUGUUUACAGCCCGGUACAAAAGCAGACUGGGUCUCUGGCAGCUACCCGUCAGCUGUCGUGCUUCACGUGGAUCGCCUCAGCUUCACCCACGCUCCACCUCUUCGCCCACGAUGAUGUCACACAGCGUCUCGUUGAAAUUUCCAACUUCCCUAAAUUCAAGUCUUCCUGGUGCCUGAAAGUUAACAACACGCUUGGCUGACCAGGACAAAAUGAAAUGAUCUCUUCGUUUGACAGAUCGUCCUUCAAACCACAGGCCGCAGCUGAAGCUACCAGCUACCAGCUACCAGCUACCAGUGUCAGCAUCAGCGUCUGAACUCGUACCUGCUUCCUCAGGACGCGAGGGGAGUUCAGAUCGGAGUGGCGCAGCGUGCAGCUGAGUGCUAUUUAAUUACCUGCUUUUGGAAAACCGCCGGGAAUGCAACUAAAUUAGGUCUUGUUUGAAGGGUAAACAAAUGUGCCAGAAGAUGUCUCCCAUCACC